rnacentral:rRNA from 11 species
AACCUUUACUAUACACCUAAUAUUGUAUCAGAUCCCAUCUGAUCUUGGAAGCUAAGCAAGGUCACUCUAGUUGGCACUUGGAUGGUAGACUACAAAGGAACACCAAUUGCUGUAGGCUU